UACGGGGGGGGUAAGCGUUGUUCGGAAUUACUGGGCUUAAAGAGUUCGUAGGCGGCGCAGAAAGUGGGGUGUGAAAGCCCUCGGCUCAACCGAGGAAUUGCGCUCCAAACUACUGUGCUUGAGGAAGCUAGAGGUGAGCAGAACUGAUGGUGGAGCGGUGAAAUGCGUUGAUAUCAUCAGGAAUACCGGAGGCGAAGGCGGCUCACUGGGGCUUUUCUGACGCUGAGGAACGAAAGCCAGGGUAGCGAACGGG
rnacentral:rRNA from 1 species